GUGAAAAACGUGAGCAUGGUAACAGUAUAGUAAGGUUUCUUCAACAGCUUACAGACUUUAAAUAGUAAAAAUGGUUCGCAAAUUAAAGUUUCACGAGCAGAAGCUGUUAAAGAAAGUCGAUUUUAUUAACUGGGAGGUUGAUAAUAAUCUACAUGAAGUGAAAGUGCUGAGAAAAUUCCACAUUGAGAAGAGAGAGGACUACACCAAAUAUAACAAACUGAGCCGGAGCAUCAGAGAGCUGGCGCAGAAGAUCCGUGACCUGGACGAGAAGGACGGCUUCAGAGCUCAGAGCACCACGCAGCUGCUGGACAAACUUUACGGCAUCGGCUUAAUCCCCACCAAACAGAAUCUGGCCCUCGCUAAUCAAGUCAGCGCCUCGUCCUUCUGCAGGAGGCGGCUGCCGUGGAUCAUGCUGAAGCUGCGCAUGGCUCAGAACCUCAAGAACGCCAUCAUGUUCAUCGAACAGGGACAUAUUCGUGUCGGGCCGGAGAUCAUCACAGAUCCUGCAUUUCUUGUCACAAGGAACAUGGAAGACUUUGUGACCUGGGUGGACUCGUCCAAGAUCAAACAGCACGUCAUGAAUUACAAAGAGGAGGUAGGACACACUUAGCCUAAAGUCCGUAGACACACAAACAUCACAUAUAAAAUCCUGGGCAUCAAUAAGAACAUCAUUUGCUAUAUAAUACAUGAUAUACCCCCAACAUAAAGUGGAGACUGUUAUAGCCACAAGGAGGCCAGUGGCUUUGAAACUGGAUGUGGUCGAUUGUGGACACAGAGAACUGACGCUGAUCCACUGAGGAAUCCGGCUCUAAUUUAGUGCCACGCUGCUUUAUUAGUCCCCCCUCCUUCCCAGAGGGUUCAGCUUUCCAUACUGGAAGAGUGAGUGGAAAUAGUAGCUGAACUUGAGCCUCAGCGUGACGAUUUUGAUCUCGUGGUUUAAAGCAGUUGAUGGAUUCAUACACUCAGACGAACGAGAUAUAAGAUGAACAAAUACGAGAUAAACACAUUUUUAGAUUAAUAAUAGAUAAAACAGCUCCUAACAUUAGGAACAUUUCUGAUAGAGAAUGAGUGGAUAUCCCAUGAAUUGUUGUAUUUAUUUGAUUAUUUUUUUCAUGAUUGUGUGUUUUUUAAUAAAAAAACAUUGUUACCACA